AUACGGAGGGUCCGAGCGUUAAUCGGAAUUACUGGGCAUAAAGCGCGCGUAGGCGGAUAUUUAAGUCAGAUGUGAAAUCCCUGGGCUCAACCUAGGAACUGCAUUUGAAACUGGAUAUCUAGAGUAUGAUAGAGGUGAGUGGAAUUUCAGGUGUAGCGGUGAAAUGCGUAGAGAUCUGAAGGAACAUCAGUGGCGAAGGCGACUCACUGGGCCAUUACUGACGCUGAGGUGCGAAAGCGUGGGUAGCAAACAGGAUUAGAUACCCUAGUAGUCC
rnacentral:rRNA from 1 species